rnacentral:rRNA from 1 species
UACAGAGGGGGCAAGCGUUGUUCGGAAUUACUGGGCGUAAAGGGCGCGUAGGCGGCCUUCUAAGUCGAACGUGAAAUCCCCGGGCUCAACCCGGGAACUGCGUCCGAUACUGGAAGGCUUGAAUCCGGGAGAGGGAUGUGGAAUUCCAGGUGUAGCGGUGAAAUGCGUAGAUAUUCGCAAGAACACCAGUGGCGAAGGCGGCUCACUGGCCCGGUACUGACGCUGAGGUGCGAAAGCGUGGGGAGCAAACAGG